UGGAUACACUUAGUGGCGGACGGGUGAGUAACGCGUGGGUACCUGCCUCACACUGGGGGAUAACAGUUAGAAAUAGCUGCUAAUACCGCAUAAGUCCGCAUGGAAAAAACUCCGGUGGUGUGAGAUGGACCCGCGUCUGAUUAGCCAGUUGGCGGGGUAACGGCCCACCAAAGCGACGAUCAGUAGCCGGCCUGAGAGGGUGAACGGCCACAUUGGGACUGAGACACGGCCCAAACUCCUACGGGAGGCAGCAGUGGGGAAUAUUGCACAAUGGGGGAAACCCUGAUGCAGCGACGCCGCGUGAGUGAAGAAGUAUUUCGGUAUGUAAAGCUCUAUCAGCAGGGAAGAAGUGACGGUACCUGAAUAAGAAGCCCCGGCUAACUACGUGCCAGCAGCCGCGGUAAUACGUAGGGGGCAAGCGUUAUCCGGAUUUACUGGGUGUAAAGGGAGCGUAGACGGCAAGGCAAGUCUGAAGUGAAAGCCCGGUGCUUAACGCCGGGACUGCUUUGGAAACUGUUUAGCUGGAGUGCCGGAGAGGUAAGCGGAAUUCCUAGUGUAGCGGUGAAAUGCGUAGAUAUUAGGAAGAACACCAGUGGCGAAGGCGGCUUACUGGACGGUAACUGACGUUGAGGCUCG
rnacentral:rRNA from 1 species